UCAAAUUUUUAUCUUAAAAAUGCAUCUCCGCUUCAAAGACGAACGCAGAUGACUAAGUGAUAUAAAUUUACUUUAUGGAACCAAAGCUAGUUUUUUUUUUUAUGGAAUGCCGUACGUCACAAAUUACGUCAUCAUGCGACUUAGAAAGCAGAAAGAAAGAAAGAGCAGAAUGUUUUCAACUCCAUAUUUUCUGUAUAAUUUGCUGGUAAUAAGCAGAUCUAUGCAUGGCACUCCAUUAUACCACACUGAUAGCUCCUCAAAGAUUAUAAAUAUGAUACAUGUAAACAGGCACAGUUACUUGUCAUCACAAGGAUCAGAAUUCAAGUACCAGAGUAGUCCUAACUCCUAAAUCUUCCUGAUUUGUCAAAAGUACAUCUAGUGACACAAGAGAAGAAUGUGGAGUAAAUGCCAAUAAAGGCUCGACUGCAGGGGUAUACCUGACUUCUUGGCAAUUUCUGGUUAUCACCAUCCGAUUCAGAGGAGAAGACCAACUUUAAGGUGACCCGUGCAUUGAGAGCUUUCGCUGAUGGACAUACUUGUUCAGAAAAAAUCCAUGCACCUACCACUGAGCCAUAGACUUCUGGCGUGCGUUUAGAAGGAACAUAGAUGCAAUGAUAGAUGAAACAAUCUCCAGACAGAUGGAUGGCUAUGAACAAAGAAUUGUCAAAAAAAUUGAAGUAUUCAAUAAAGAAGAUUAAGAAACAGAGUGUGUCCAGUUGUUUGUUCAUCAAAAGAAUAACUUGGAUAAUCAUAUUGAUGCUUCGUCAAAAUCUGCAUGUGUUCAAAUUAAGCAGUUUCAAAGUAAGAUUGAGAUAAAGCUCGAUCAUUAAGUCAUUUGCUGGACCAGAUUUUGAGAUUGUACUUAUUGCAUAUGUUUUGAAUAUCAGUAACAGUGAAACCUUGAUGAUUAGUUGUACAAAUUCAUAUACAGAUCUAAGUAUUAGAAUUUCCUAAUACUUUUCUUUUCAUGGAUUAAAAGAAUUGAAAGUCCAAUAUACUAGGAAAAAUAUAUACCGAGUACACCACAUGGAUUUGAUAUGAAUAUCAUAUGAUAUUCACAUGAAAUUCACACGAAAUUCAUAUGAAAAUCUGUAAAGAAAGUAGCAAAAAUAUUCAUAUGAAUUUCGUGCGAAUUUUUAUUCACAUGAUAUUCGUGCAAAUUUCAUGUCAAAAUCGCAUGAUAUUUUCAUGUGAAUAUCAUGCGUGGUCCUUUUCGUCUCUUUUUCAUGUGAAGAAUUCGCACGAUAUUCAUGCGAAUUUCAUAUGAAUUUCAUGCAAGCCACUUUUGCCUGUGUACUCUUUAUCUG